rnacentral:rRNA from 1 species
UUCUCCUGGAAACGGGUGGUAAUGCCGGAUGCUCCGACUCCUCGCAUGGGGUGUCGGGAAAGAUUUCAUCGGUAUGGGAUGGGGUCGCGUCCUAUCAGGUAGUCGGCGGGGUAACGGCCCACCGAGCCUACGACGGGUAGCCGGCCUGAGAGGGCGACCGGCCACAUUGGGACUGAGAUACGGCCCAGACUCCUACGGGAGGCAGCAGUGGGGAAUAUUGCACAAUGGGCGCAAGCCUGAUGCAGCGACGCCGCGUGCGGGAUGACGGCCUUCGGGUUGUAAACCGCUUUUGAUCGGGAGCAAGCCUUCGGGUGAGUGUACCUUUCGAAUAAGCACCGGCUAACUACGUGCCAGCAGCCGCGGUAAUACGUAGGGUGCAAGCGUUAUCCGGAAUUAUUGGGCGUAAAGGGCUCGUAGGCGGUUCGUCGCGUCCGGUGUGAAAGUCCAUCGCUUAACGGUGGAUCUGCGCCGGGUACGGGCGGGCUGGAGUGCGGUAGGGGAGACUGGAAUUCCCGGUGUAACGGUGGAAUGUGUAGAUAUCGGAAAAGAACA